GUCGAACGGCAGCACGGGCUUCGGCCUGGUGGCGAGUGCCGAACGGGUGAGUAAUACGUCGGAACGUGCCCUGUAGUGGGGGAAACUAGUCGAAAGAUUAGCUAACACCGCAAACGACCUGAGGGUGAAAGCGGGGGACCGCAAGGCCUCCCGCUUCAGGAUCGGCCGAUGUCUGAUUAGCUAGUUGGUGGGGUAAGAGCCUACUAAGGCCGACGAUCAUUAGCUGGUCUGAGAGGACGCUCAGCCACACUGGCACUGAGACACGGCCCAGCUCCUACGGGAGGCAGCAAUGGGGAAUAUUAGACAAUGGGGGCAACCUUGAUCCAUCAAUGGCCCGUGUGUGAAGAAGGCCUUCGGGUUGUAAAGUCACUUUUGUCCGGAAAGAAAUGGCCUGCGAUAAUUCCGCGGGUCGAUGACGGUGCCGGAUGAAUAAGCACCGCCUAACUACGUGCCAGCAGCCGCGGUAAUACGUAGGGUGCGCGCGUUAAUCGGAAAUACUGGGCGGAAGCGUGCGCAGGCGGUUUUGAAAGACAGACGUGAAAUCCCCGAGCUUAACUUGGGAAUGGCGCUUGUGACUGCAACGGUAGAGUAUAUCAGAGGGGGGUAGAAUUCCACGUGUAGCAGUGAAAUGCGUAGAGAUGUGGAGGAAUACCGAUGGCGAAGUCAGCCCUGUGGGACGUUACUGACGCUCAUGUACGAAGGCGUGGGGAGUAAACAGGAUUAGAUACCCUGGUAGUCCACGCCCUAAACGAUGUCCACUUGUUGUUGGGGAUUGAUUUCUUCAGUAACGUAGCUAAGGCGAGAAGUUCACCGCCUGGGGUGUACGGUCGUAAGAUUAAAACUCAAAGGAAUGACGGGGACGCCGACAAGCGGUGGAAGAUGUGGAUUAAUUCGAUGCAAUACGAAAUACGUUACCUACCCUUGACAUGCCACUAACGUAAGCCCUGACGUAUCAGGUGCCCGAAAGUGAAAGUCGACACAUGUGUCUGCAUGGCUGUCGUCAGGUCGUGUCGUGAGAUGUUGGGUUAAGUCUCACAACGACGGCAAGCCUUGUCUUUAGUUCCUACGCAAGAGAAGUCUAGAGAGACUGGCGGUGAGAAACCGUAGGAAGGUGGGGAUGACGUGAAGUCCUCAUGGCCCUUAUGGGUAGGGCUUCACACGUCAUACAAUCGUGCGUAAAGAGGUUUGCCAACCCGCGAGUGGGAGCCAAUCCCAGAAAACGCGUCGUAGUGCGGAUCCUAGUCUGCUAACUCGAUUACGUGAAUCUGGAUUCGCUAAUAAUCGCGGAUCAGCA
rnacentral:rRNA from 1 species